UACAGAGGUCUCAAGCGUUGUUCGGAUUCAUUGGGCGUAAAGGGCGCGUAGGCGGCGGGGUCGGUCGGGUGUGAAAUCUUGGGGCUUAACCCCGAAACGGCACUCGAAACUGCCCGGCUGGAGGGCCGGAGAGGAGAUCGGAAUUCACGGUGUAGCAGUGAAAUGCGUAGAGAACGUGAGGAACACCCGUGGCGAAGGCGGCUCUCUGGGACGGUACUGACGCUGAGACGCGAAAGCGUGGGGAGCGAACAGG
rnacentral:rRNA from 1 species